AGCUUUGCACAGUGGCAGUAUCAUAGACAAUGAGGUUUAUCUGAGGGGCGAUUAUUGCUAAUUGAAAACUUUUCCUAAUACCCCACCAUGAAGACUUGCAAUAUAGUCAGCAUUGGCACUAAAAAAAAAAAAAUU